rnacentral:rRNA from 1 species
AUACGUAGGGGACGAGCGUUGUCCGGAAUUACUGGGCGUAAAGGGCGCGCAGGCGGAUAUUUAAGUCAGCUGUAAAAGGCAUGAGCUCAACUCAUGUAUGCGGUUGAAACUGGGUAUCUAGAGUGCUGGAGAGGUAGGCGGAAUUCCCGGUGUAGCGGUGAAAUGCGUAGAUAUCGGGAAGAACACCAGUGGCGAAGGCGGCUUACUGGCCAGCAACUGACGCUGAGGCGCGAAAGCCAGGGGAGCGAACGGGAUUAGAUACCCCGGUAGUCCUGGCAGUAAACGAUGUAUGCUGGGUGUGAGACUAGCGAUAGUUUCGUGCCGAAGUUAACGCGAUAAGCAUACCGCCUGGGGAGUACGGUCGCAAGAUUGAAACUCAAAUGAAUUGGCGGGG